rnacentral:ncRNA from 1 species
AAAUGUGGACGGAUUUGACCGCUUGCAACCACUUAAAAAAAUGCUAAAGAUU